CGGUGUGAUCAUACCAGCAUUGAUGCACAGAAUCCCAUCAGAACUCCGCAGUCAAGCAUGCUCGGGCGAGAGUAGUACUGGGAUGGGUGACCUCCGUGGAAGUCCUCGUGUUGCACACC
rfam:Cephalotus follicularis DNA, scaffold: scaffold24, isolate: St1.